AAUAGAUACCCAGGUAGUCCACGCCGUAAACGGUGGGCGCUAGGUGUGGGGACUUUCCACGUCCUCUGUGCCGCAGCUAACGCAUUAAGCGCCCCGCCUGGGGAGUACGGCCGCAAGGCUAAAACUCAAAGGAAUUGACGGGGGACCCGCACAAGCGGCGGAGCAUGUGGCUUAAUUCGACGCAACGCGAAGAACCUUACCAAGGCUUGACAUGCAGGGAAAUCUCGUAGAGAUACGGGGUCCGCAAGGGCUCUGCACAGGUGGUGCAUGGUUGUCGUCAGCUCGUGUCGUGAGAUGUUGGGUUAAGUCCCGCAACGAGCGCAACCCUUGUCCUAUGUUGCCAGCGAGUAAUGUCGGGGACUCAUAGGAGACUGCCGGGGGUCAACUCGGAGGAAGGUGGGGAUGACGUCAAAUCAUCAUGCCCCUUAUGUCUUGGGCUGCACACAUGCUACAAUGGUCGGUACAAAGGGCUGCGAGACCGCAAGGUGGAGCGAAUCCCAAAAAGCCGGCCUCAGUUCGGAUUGGGGUCUG
rnacentral:rRNA from 1 species